AUACCUUUCUCGGCCUUUUGGCUAAGAUCAAGUGUAGUAUCUGUUCUUAUCAGUUUAAUAUCUGAUAUGUGGGCCAUGUGCCCACAACGAUAUUAAAUUUAUUUUUUGUGGGGGAGGGUCCACCACAGUGGCUUGCCACUGGGGCCCUCACGUGUCGCUUGGGCGUUGCACUACAGCCCAAGCCAGGCGCACCCCAA
rfam:Triticum aestivum genome assembly, contig: Triticum_aestivum_CS42_TGACv1_scaffold_513521_6BS